GCUAAACGCGAAGAACCUUACCAGGGCUUGACAUACACCAGAACACCCUAGAAAUAGGGGACUCUUUGGACACUGGUGAACAGGUGGUGCAUGGUUGUCGUCAGCUCGUGUCGUGAGAUGUUGGGUUAAGUCCCGCAACGAGCGCAACCCUCGUUCUAUGUUGCCAGCACGUUAUGGUGGGAACUCAUGGGAUACUGCCGGGGUCAACUCGGAGGAAGGUGGGGAUGACGUCAAAUCAUCAUGCCCCUUAUGUCUUGGGCUUCACGCAUGCUACAAUGGCCGGUACAAAGGGCUGCAAUACCGUGAGGUGGAGCGAAUCCCAAAAAGCCGGUCCCAGUUCGGAUUGAGGUCUGCAACUCGACCUCAUGAAGUCGGAGUCGCUAGUAAUCGCAGAUCAGCAACGCUGCGGUGAAUACGUUCCCGGGUCUUGUACACACCG
rnacentral:rRNA from 1 species